rnacentral:rRNA from 1 species
UACAGAGGGUGCAAGCGUUUGUUCGGAAUUAUUGGGCGUAAAGCGCGUGUAGGCGGCUUUGCAAGUCGGGGUGUGAAAGCCCUCAGCUUAACUGAGGAAGUGCGCCCGAAACUGCAGAGCUUGAGUACCGGAGAGGAUGGUGGAAUUCCCCAAGUAGAGGUGAAAUUCGUAGAUAUGGGGAGGAACACCGGUGGCGAAGGCGACCAUCUGGACGGAUACUGACGCUGAGACGCGAAAGCGUGGGUAGCAAACAGG